UACUAAUCUUGUUUCUGGAGUGAC
rnacentral:siRNA from 1 species